AGGUCACUGCUAUCGGGGUUCGAUUAAGCCAUGCGAGUCGAGAGGGUUCGGCCCUCGGCGUACUGCUCAAUAACACGUGGAUAACCUGCCCUAAGGAAGGGGAUAACCCCGGGAAACUGGGGAUAAUACCCUAUAGGUUACAGAUGCUGGAAUGCUCUGUAACUCAAAGUUCCGGCGCCUUAGGAUGGAUCUGCGGCCGAUUAGGUUGUUGUUGGGGUAAUGGCCCAACAAGCCCGUAAUCGGUACGGGUUGUGGGAGCAAGAGCCCGGAGUUGGAUUCUGAGACACGAAUCCAGGCCCUACGGGGCGCAGCAGGCGCGAAAACUUUACAAUGCGGGCAACCGUGAUAAGGGAACCUCGAGUGCCUGUAUAUGCAGGCUGUCCAGGUGUCUAAAUAACACCUGAAGAAAGGGCCGGGCAAGACCGGUGCCAGCCGCCGCGGUAAUACCGGCGGCUCGAGUGGUGGCCGCUUUUAUUGGGCUUAAAGCGUUCGUAGCUGGGUUAUUAAGUCUCUUGGGAAAUCCGGCGGCUCAACCGUCGGGCGUCUAAGGGAUACUGGUAAUCUUGGAACCGGGAGAGGUGAGGGG
rnacentral:rRNA from 1 species